rnacentral:rRNA from 1 species
AGGAUGAACGCUAGCGGCAGGCCUAACACAUGCAAGUCGAGGGCAUCGCGGUGCAGCAAUGCACUGGCGGCGACCGGCGUACGGGUGCGUAACGCGUAUGCAACCUGCCCCGCACCGGGGGAUAGCCCGCCGAAAGGCGGAUUAAUACCCCAUGGUCCCGGGGGCCCGCAUGGGCAUCCGGGUAAAGCCUUGGCGGUGCGGGAUGGGCAUGCGUGCCAUUAGCUGGCUGGUGGGGUAACGGCCCACCAGGGGCAACGAUGGCUAGGGGGUCUGAGAGGAUGGUCCCCCACACUGGUACUGAGACACGGACCAGACUCCUACGGGAGGCAGCAGUGAGGAAUAUUGGUCAAUGGGCGGAAGCCUGAACCAGCCAUGCCGCGUGCGGGAUGAAGGCCCUACGGGUUGUAAACCGCUUUUCCCCGGGAAGAAUAAGCCCCCCGCGGGGGGUGAUGCCGGUACCGGGGGAAUAAGGAUCGGCUAACUCCGUG